UACGGAGGAUCCAAGCGUUAUCCGGAAUCAUUGGGUUUAAAGGGUCCGUAGGCGGGCUUAUAAGUCAGUGGUGAAAUCUCCCAGCUCAACUGGGAAACUGCCAUUGAUACUGUAGGUCUUGAAUUAUUAGGAAGUAACUAGAAUAUGUAGUGUAGCGGUGAAAUGCUUAGAUAUUACAUAGAAUACCGAUUGCGAAGGCAGGUCACUAACAACGCAUUGACGCUGAUGGACGAAAGCGUGGGGAGCGAACAGG
rnacentral:rRNA from 1 species